UGUAAAAUAAGCUAAGUUUUUAAGCUGUUAGAUUCAUAUUCUAAAGAUGAGAUUUUAGUCUCUUUUAUAA
rnacentral:tRNA from 1 species